rnacentral:rRNA from 1 species
CCUACGGGAGGCAGCAGUGAGGAAUAUUGGUCAAUGGGCGCGAGCCUGAACCAGCCAAGUCGCGUGAGGGAGGACGGCCCUACGGGUUGUAAACCUCUUUUGCCGGGGAGCAACGGGCGCCACGUGUGGCGCCACUGAGAGUACCCGGAGAAAAAGCAUCGGCUAUCUCCGUCCCAGCAGCCGCGGUAAUACGGAGGAUGCGAGCGUUAUCCGGAUUUAUUGGGUUUAAGGGGUGCGUAGGCGGAUCGUGAAGUAAGUGGUCAAAUUGAGGGGCUCAACCCCUUCCCGCCAUUGAAACUGGAGUUCUUGAGUGGACGAGAGGCAUGCGGAAUGCGUGGUGUAGCGGUGAAAUGCAUAGAUAUCACGCAGAACCCCGAUUGCGAAGGCAGCAUGCCGGCUUCCGACUGACGCUGAAGCACGAAAGCGUGGGGAUCGAACAGGAUUAGAUACCCGGGUAGUC